rnacentral:lncRNA from 1 species
UUCCUACAUUAACUAUCUCUGUUAACUCGUCUAUUACCUUUCUAUCUGCGCAAACAAGUAAAUAUCAAAUCUCUAGAAUAAUGCAUAUGAAGGGCUUGGUGGCCAAAGGGCCAAAAGGCUUGGUGGUUGAUAUCCGAAACCCAAAUUCGAAUUCUAAUUGAUUUAUAUUUUCAGCUAAGUCUUAUAUUUUUAAAUGAAAUAAAUAAAGCGGGUAGCAUGCUACCUUUUUCCAAAAAAAAAAAAAGAAAA